UGGGGAAUAUUGGACAAUGGGGGCAACCCUGAUCCAGCAAUGCCGCGUGUGUGAAGAAGGUCUUCGGAUUGUAAAGCACUUUCGACGGGGACGAUGAUGACGGUACCCGUAGAAGAAGCCCCGGCUAACUUCGUGCCAGCAGCCGCGGUAAUACGAAGGGGGCUAGCGUUGCUCGGAAUGACUGGGCGUAAGGGCGUGUAGG
rnacentral:rRNA from 1 species